UUUUGACAUAAGUUGCAAGCAAAGCAUGUGUUAUCAUCUUUUCCAAUGUUUUGCUGACCUUUGCGCUUUGGGAUGAGUAUUUGAAGAGGGAAAUAAGGAUUUCCUUUUUAAAUGACUCUUAUGGUCUGAUUUCUCACCCUUUAAUUUUGGAUAAGAUUUUCAAAGGUAACAAAAGACAAGUCAAUCAAGAUAGCUAGAUUUAUGACUGCUUUAUUAACAACUUACCGCUUGAUUUUGUUAGUUUAGCUAAAAGUUUUUUUCUUCCCAAAUUUUCUUUUCUUUCUUUUUUUUUCUUGCGUUAAUUAAUUAUCUUUUCCUUUCCUUUUCUUAAACCAAAGAAAGCAUAAAUUACUUCAUAUGUAACAUGAAGUUAUAGGAAAAUUACAUGAUUCAUAAGGAUGGUCUGAAUGCAUGGUGGAUGUUCAUUUUGUAAGAUGUUCCUAUAUGUGAAGGGGAGAUAUGCAUGGAAUGCAUCCUGGACAAUAUCAUUUUAAGGGGUUACUGAGUUGAAGUUGAUCAUUGUCCCUAACAGAUUCUCUAUUUCAAUGGUGAUUUUUGGUGCCUCCAGAAACCUGGUUCGGUAGUAUCAACAUCAUUAAAAUACUCAUCCUAUGCCUCCCUUUCUUGACUUGUUUUUUUAGUUGACUUGUGGGCUUCUCAAUAUCUGUUUUACCAUGGAUUGGGAUAUUAUAUGAAUAGGAUAGAUGGGCACUGAAGCACUAGUCAGGAACAACUACAUUAUAAGUCACCGCAUCAUCCUGUAGAUAUAAUAAGCAUUCACAAGAUGUUGUCGGUUUUUUUACUGCACUGAUUGUGAACAUCAUUGCCUGGAUGGGGAAUGAGAAGGUGCAAUACAAGAUAUGGAAGUGAGAGGAAACUAGCAAAGAAACAUGCAUAAUAUGUUCAGACUUUGCAUGUAUGCACUGCUGAUAGGAGAAAUGCCACCACCAGAUACCAAAAGUGACACAAAGGACCUGACACUUUGUUGACACAAAAAGCUGAUUUGUAGGACUCUUCGUGGUUUUUCAUUGUCUUUCUCUCCACCCCUUCUCUUUCACAGUAUCGAUACGUGCUAUCUCUUUAUCUUCUUUUGUCUCAUUUGCUCCUGCUAUCUCAUCUAUCUCUGAUUUAGCCCUCCUAAUAUGAGAAAACCUGUGUACUCUAUUUGCAUCUAUUGUCAGGUUUCAUGUUUAACCAUGAACAACUAAUAUUGUUGGCUAUGACUGCUACAUGUUGCUUGCCCUGUUGGUGCAUUCCCUUUUAACUCAUAGCAUACAAUGAGGAUAUACUGUUAGUGAAGAUACAUGUGAUCUGAUUCAACUCCAAAUGAUCUUAUGACCAUGGAACACAUCAUAAAGCAUAUUUUCCACCCGAAGUAAAUUUAACGAAGUACAAGUACUUGGAGAUGUACCACCCAAUAGUCAAAUCUUGAAUGCUUGAAGUGAAUGAUGGGUGUGACCAUGAGGGUAAUGCCGAGUUUGCAGUAUUCUAUCAGUGUUGUAGAGGUGAUUGUGUAGUCUUUCUGGAAUUCUUUGUUGACAAGAGGCACAGCUAAAGUUCACUCUAUAUAACCUUUCGAACGAAGAAUAGUGACAUGAUCAUGACUUUGCUCUGAACAAUAUAAAUAUCUCAGGGAAGCUGCAGUCAUAUUUCUUGAGAAGCAGGUGACUGAGGAAAUGCUGAGAGGACGGUGAAGCCUAUGAUGUGAAACUAAAGUUUCAGAAUUUGUGCUGUGGAAUUGGUUCUGGUUAUUUGAGUUUUUUUAGCUUAAUGCUAUAGAACCUCAGUUCAUUUGAUAUUAUGGAGGACCCUUCUUUGGAGUGACGCACCUAUUCUGUAGUUCAUUGGACGGAAGAUUAGUCCCUGAUGAUUCUUUUUUCUUUUGGCCUGCAUUUUUAUGGGCUGCUUGAGACUAUAUACUUCUGCUGUCACAUAAAUCUUGCUUGUGACUUGUGGGGAUGAGUUUUUAUUGUUUUUUCUGAACUCUUCUAGAGAUGUGAUUAUCAACAUGAAGAGUUCUAAAUGGCUACAUCUUUUUGGAUGAAUCAUAAAUAUUGAGCUGCUUGGCCAGUGACCCUCUUUAAUCUCUAAAUAAUUUGUAUUCUUGGUUAUAGAAUUGCCAUUCCUU